CUACGGGGGGCACCAGUGGGGAAUAUUGGACAAUGGGGGAAACCCUGAUCCAGCAAUGCCGCGUGUGUGAAGAAGGCCUGCGGGUUGUAAAGCACUUUCGGUUGGGAGGACUGCUUCUAGCACUAAUAUUGUUGGAAGUUGACGUUACCUUCAGAAGAAGCACCGGGUAGCUCCGUGCCAGCAGCCGCGGUAAUACGGAGGGGGCAAGCGUUAAUCGGAAUUACUGGGCGUAAAGCGCGCGUAGGCGGCUAGAUCAGUCGGGUGUGAAAGCCCCGGGCUUAACCUGGGAACUGCAUCCGAUACUGUCUAGCUUGAGUACAGGAGAGGAGAGUGGAAUUCCACAUGUAGCGGUGAAAUGCGUAGAUAUGCGGAGGAACACCAAUGGCGAAGGCAGCUCUCUGGCCUGAUACUGACGCUGAGGUGCGAAAGCGUGGGGAGCAAACAGGAUUAGAUACCCUAGUAGUC
rnacentral:rRNA from 1 species